CUUAGAAAAUACUUCCGCAGAGAUUACAGAAAGAGUUUGUUGUUCCUCCGGCGGCGCCGGUUUCGGGGGUGGACGCACCCGGGGUGACCCGCCGAGGCAACAGUUGGUAAACUUCACAUUGUUUGGAGUUUAAACUCCGUAAUUUUUCGUAGGUGAACCUGCGGAGGGAUCAUUA
rnacentral:rRNA from 1 species